UAACAAUAAGACAACAGGGCGCAUAAAACUUAAGCCUAUUUUUUGCUUUGUUUUAUUUGUCUCCUUUUUAUUUGUUCAGCUAUGUACGUUCAUAACUUCAGAAUGUAAUGUGCAUCUAAUUCUCAAUGUACUCUCUCAUAUCUUGCCUGUUUUUAUGUAUACCGUCGAAUACUAUGCUUAUUACUUUAAAGCUCAGAAUGUGAAGUUAAUAAUGGAUGAAAUACGAACCGACUGGAAUUCAUUAAAUGACAAGAAGGAAAUCGAUAUAAUCGAGAAAUAUUCUUA